rnacentral:rRNA from 1 species
CUAAGUUUGAUGGCGACCGGCGCACGGGUGNGUAACACGUAUCCAACCUGCCGAUGACUCGGGGAUAGCCUUUCGAAAGAAAGAUUAAUACCCGAUGGCAUAGUUCUUCCGCAUGGUAGAACUAUUAAAGAAUUUCGGUCAUCGAUGGGGAUGCGUUCCAUUAGGUUGUUGGCGGGGUAACGGCCCACCAAGCCUUCGAUGGAUAGGGGUUCUGAGAGGAAGGUCCCCCACAUUGGAACUGAGACACGGUCCAAACUCCUACGGGAGGCAGCAUG